rnacentral:rRNA from 1 species
GAUGAACGCUAGCGGGAGGCUUAACACAUGCAAGUCGAGGGGUAAAUGGCAGCAAUGCUAUGAGACCGGCGAACGGGUGCGUAACGCGUAUGUAACCUACCCUGUACAGGGGGAUAACCCGGAGAAAUUCGGACUAAUAUCCCAUAACAAUAUCCGGGGGCAUCUUUGGAUAUUUAAAGUUCCGGCGGUACGGGAUGGGCAUGCGUAACAUUAGCUAGUUGGUAAGGUAACGGCUUACCAAGGCUUUGAUGUUUAGGGGUCCUGAGAGGGUGGUCCCCCACACUGGUACUGAGACACGGACCAGACUCCUACGGGAGGCAGCAGUGAGGAAUAUUGGUCAAUGGGCGCAAGCCUGAACCAGCCAUCCCGCGUGCAGGAAGACGGCGCUAUGCGUUGUAAACUGCUUUUCCAGGGAGAGAAACUUGCGCACGUGUUGCGCAAUUGACGGUACCCUGGGAAUAAGCAUCGGCUAACUCCGUGCCAGCAGCCGCGGUAAACUGUACGUCGU